rnacentral:rRNA from 1 species
CCUACGGGAGGCAGCAGUGAGGAAUAUUGGUCAAUGGACGAGAGUCUGAACCAGCCAAGUAGCGUGAAGGAUGACUGCCCUAUGGGUUGUAAACUUCUUUUAUAAAGGAAUAAAACGAGGCACGUGUGCCUUUUUGCAUGUACUUUAUGAAUAAGGAUCGGCUAACUCCGUGCCAGCAGCCGCGGUAAUACGGAGGAUCCGAGCGUUAUCCGGAUUUAUUGGGUUUAAAGGGAGCGUAGAUGGGUUGUUAAGUCAGUUGUGAAAGUUUGCGGCUCAACCGUAAAAUUGCAAUUGAUACUGGCAGUCUUGAGUACAGUUGAGGUAAGUGGAACUCCAUGUGUAGCGGUGGAAUGCGUAGAUAUAUGGAAGAACUCCGAUAGCGAAGGCAGCUUACCAGACUGCGACUGACGCUGAAGCACGAGAGCGUGGGUAGCGAACAGGAUUAGAUACCCCUGUAGUC